rnacentral:tRNA from 1 species
GCAUUGGUAACUCAGUGGUAGAAUUCUCGCCUUCCAUGGGGGAGACGUGGGUUUGAUUCCCAGCCGAGGCA